rnacentral:lncRNA from 1 species
GGCUAUGUAUAUAACAAUCAAUGGAAGAAUUAAUUCGAAUAAAAUAAAUACAAUAUACAAUUAACAGGUAACAAUAUACAAUAUACAAUUUAUUAACAGGUAACAAUAAACAAUUUGUGGAAUGUAUAUCACCAUAGUAACAGUAUGGACAGAUCAGCCAUAUUCUUUUCUUUCAAAAUAUAGGAAAACUAUUAUUUUUAUACCCCACCUACGAUAGUAGAGGGGGAUUAUGUUUUCUGGUCUGUGCGUCCGUUCGUCCGUUACAUUAGACAAUUUCACAGUCCACUGAACAUAGAAAAUGAUAGUGCGAGUAGGGCAUUCGUGUACUGGGGACACAUUCUUGUUACUUCUAACUAAACAAACUGAAUAUAACAGCUACUUCAAUUAACGAUGAAUCUAACUUUUAAUACAAUUAUCAAAUAAUUAAAAUAAACCAUCUAAAACAAGUUUACUGGUACAAGCAAAUAAAAUGUUCUUGUGUACGUCUCAUCUUUUUCUGUUAAUGUAACUUUCAAAUCUGGGGUUUUUUUCAUUCAAGGGGACACAAUUUAAAGAAAAAAUGCAGUUUUAAUUGAAAGAAUUAUCUCUCCUUACCAAAUUCUAUCCUCUUCAACUAUCUCCCCUUACCCAAGUUUAUCCAGCUUAACCAUCUCACCUUACCAAAGUCUAUCCACCUUAAUUAUUUCCCCUUACCCAAGUUUAUUCUCCUUCAUUAAAAGAUUAUCUCCCCUUAACAAAGUCUGUCCUCCUUCAUUAACAAAAACUAUCUCCCCUUAGGCUCUUACUAAAGUCUAUCCCCUUCAUUUAUUACUUGAAAAAUUAUCUCCCCUUACAAAGGUAUCUUCACUUCAACAUGUGUCUUAAGUAUAAAUAAUAUAUUUAAAAUGGAAUGUGAAGUCAUUAUCACCAUAAAUAUAUAAGUUUAGCCAAAUAUUAAAUAUAUACAUUUUUACAAUAAAUAAUAGUAUCAAUUACUUUAAGAAUACAAUUCAAGUACAUUGUAUAUGUGAUAGUAAAUUAAGUUAGACAUUUGUGACUAUCAAAUCACAGAUUGAUGGCAGGAAAUAUAAAUGUGCAAUAUUGUCAUAAAUGGGAUAUCCAUUUUAUGAAAUUCUGAGAGAAAAAAAAUCAUGAAAUACAUUGUAAAUAUAAAAAUAAAAUAAUAUACAAAAUAAGUUCAAUUAUAAAACAUAUUUGAUUUAAAAGAAAGUUAAAA